UACGUAGGGGGCAAGCGUUGUCCGGAAUCAUUGGGCGUAAAGAGCGUGUAGGCGGCUCGAUAAGUCCGCUGUGAAAGUCCAGGGCUCAACCCUGGAAGGCCGGUGGAAACUGUCGGGCUAGAGUCCGGAAGAGGCGAGUGGAAUUCCCGGUGUAGCGGCGAAAUGCGCAGAUAUCGGGAGGAACACCAAUGGCGAAGGCAGCUCGCUGGGACGGUACUGACGCUGAGACGCGAAAGCGUGGGGAGCAAACAGG
rnacentral:rRNA from 1 species